rnacentral:rRNA from 1 species
UACGCAGGGCGCAAGCGUUGUUCGGAAUCACUGGGCGUAAAGCGCGUGUAGGCGGCCGGGCAAGUCGGAUGUGAAAUUCCGAGGCUCACCCUCGGAACUGCAUUCGAACCUGCUCGGCUCGAGUCCCGGAGAGGAUGGCGGAAUUCCCGGUGUAGGGGUGAAAUCCGUAGAUAUCGGGAGGAACACCAGUGGCGAAGGCGGCCAUCUGGACGGUGACUGACGCUGAGACGCGAAAGCGUGGGGAGCAAACAGG